AUGAACGCUGGCGGCGUGCCUAAUACAUGCAGGUCGAGCGAACAGACGAGGAGCUUGCUCCUUUGACGUUAGCGGCGGACGGGUGAGUAACACGUAGGUAACCUACCUAUAAGACUGGGAUAACUUCGGGAAACCGGAGCUAAUACCGGAUAAUAUUUCGAACCGCAUGGUUCGAUAGUGAAAGAUGGCUUUGCUAUCACUUAUAGAUGGACCUGCGCCGUAUUAGCUAGUUGGUAAGGUAACGGCUUACCAAGGCAACGAUACGUAGCCGACCUGAGAGGGUGAUCGGCCACACUGGAACUGAGACACGGUCCAGACUCCUACGGGAGGCAGCAGUAGGGAAUCUUCCGCAAUGGGCGAAAGCCUGACGGAGCAACGCCGCGUGAGUGAUGAAGGUCUUCGGAUCGUAAAACUCUGUUAUUAGGGAAGAACAAACGUGUAAGUAACUGUGCACGUCUUGACGGUACCUAAUCAGAAAGCCACGGCUAACUACGUG
rnacentral:rRNA from 1 species